UAGGGAAUCUUCGGCAAUGGACGAAAGUCUGACCGAGCAACGCCGCGUGAGUGAAGAAGGUUUUCGGAUCGUAAAACUCUGUUGGUAGAGAAGAACGUUGGUGAGAGUGGAAAGCUCAUCAAGUGACGGUAACUACCCAGAAAGGGACGGCUAACUACGUGCCAGCAGCCGCGGUAAUACGUAGGUCCCGAGCGUUGUCCGGAUUUAUUGGGCGUAAAGCGAGCGCAGGUGGUUUAUUAAGUCUGGUGUAAAAGGCGGUGGCUCAACCAUUGUAUGCAUUGGAAACUGGUAGACUUGAGUGCAGGAGAGGAGAGUGGAAUUCCAUGUGUAGCGGUGAAAUGCGUAGAUAUAUGGAGGAACACCGGUGGCGAAAGCGGCUCUCUGGCCUGUAACUGACACUGAGGCUCGAAAGCGUGGGGAGCAAACAGGAUUAGAUACCCUGGUAGUCCACGCCGUAAACGAUGAGUGCUAGAUGUAGGGAGCUAUAAGUUCUCUGUAUCGCAGCUAACGCAAUAAGCACUCCGCCUGGGGAGUACGACCGCAAGGUUGAAAC
rnacentral:rRNA from 1 species